AGAGUUUGAUCAUGGCUCAGAACGAACGCUGGCGGCGUGCCUAACACAUGCAAGUCGUGCGAGAAAAGGGGGGCAACUCCCUGAGUAAAGCGGCGCACGGGUGAGUAACACGUAGGUGACCUCCCCCCGAGUCCAGGAUAACCUACCGAAAGGUUGGCUAAUACCGGAUAUGACCACGGAAGCUACGGCUGCUGUGGUGAAAGGUGGCCUCUGCUUGCAAGCUACCGCUCGAGGAUGGGCCUGCGUGCCAUUAGCUAGUUGGUGGGGUAAUGGCCCACCAAGGCGAUGAUGGCUAGCUGGUCUUAGAGGAUGGCCAGCCACACUGGGACUGAAACACGGCCCAGACUCCUACGGGAGGCAGCAGUGGGGGAUAUUGCGCAAUGGGCGAAAGCCUGACGCAGCGACGCCGCAUGGGUGAUGAAGGCCUUCGGGUCGUAAAGCCCUGUCGAGGGGAACGAAACGGUUCUGGUCUAAUAUGCUGGAGCCCUGACGGUACCCCUAAAGGAAGCACCGGCUAACUCCGUGCCAGCAGCCGCGGUAACACGGAGGGUGCAAGCGUUGUUCGGAAUUACUGGGCGUAAAGGGCGUGUAGGCGGUCUGCUAAGUCUGAUGUGAAAGCCCGGGGCUUACCCCCGGAAGGGCAUUGGAAACUGACAGACUCGAGUCCCGGAGAGGAGGGUGGAAUUCCUGGUGUAGCGGUGAAAUGCGUAGAUAUCAGGAGGAACACCGGCGGCGAAGGCGGCCCUCUGGACGGUGACUGACGCUGAGACGCGAAAGCGUGGGGAGCAAACAGGAUUAGAUACCCUAGUAGUCC
rnacentral:rRNA from 1 species